GACGAACGAGGGCGGAGGGAGGAACACAUGCAAGUCGAACGGAAAGGCCCUGCUUUUGUGGGGUGCUCGAGUGGCGAACGGGUGAGUAACACGUGAGUAACCUGCCCUUGACUUUGGGAUAACUUCAGGAAACUGGGGCUAAUACCGGAUAGGAGCUCCUGCUGCAUGGUGGGGGUUGGAAAGUUUCGGCGGUUGGGGAUGGACUCGCGGCUUAUCAGCUUGUUGGUGGGGUAGUGGCUUACCAAGGCUUUGACGGGUAGCCGGCCUGAGAGGGUGACCGGCCACAUUGGGACUGAGAUACGGCCCAGACUCCUACGGGAGGCAGCAGUGGGGAAUAUUGCACAAUGGGCGGAAGCCUGAUGCAGCAACGCCGCGUGCGGGAUGACGGCCUUCGGGUUGUAAACCGCUUUCGCCUGUGACGAAGCGUGAGUGACGGUAAUGGGUAAAGAAGCACCGGCUAACUACGUG
rnacentral:rRNA from 1 species